rnacentral:rRNA from 1 species
AGGGAUGGGGCUGGCGGGCCUACACAUGCAAGUCGAGCGGUAGCACAGGGAGCUUGCUCCUGGGUGACGAGCGGCGGACGGGUGAGUAAUGUCUGGGAAACUGCCCGAUGGAGGGGGAUAACUACUGGAAACGGUAGCUAAUACCGCAUAACGUCUUCGGACCAAAGUGGGGGACCUUCGGGCCUCACACCAUCGGAUGUGCCCAGAUGGGAUUAGCUAGUAGGUGAGGUAAUGGCUCACCUAGGCGACGAUCCCUAGCUGGUCUGAGAGGAUGACCAGCCACACUGGAACUGAGACACGGUCCAGACUCCUACGGGAGGCAGCAGUGGGGAAUAUUGCACAAUGGGCGCAAGCCUGAUGCAGCCAUGCCGCGUGUGUGAAGAAGGCCUUCGGGUUGUAAAGCACUUUCAGCGAGGAGGAAGGGUUCGGUGUUAAUAGCACCGUUCAUUGACGUUACUCGCAGAAGAAGCACCGGCUAACUCCGUGCCAGCAGCCGCGGUAAUACGGAGGGUGCAAGCGUUAAUCGGAAUUACUGGGCGUAAAGCGCACGCAGGCGGUUUGUUAAGUCAGAUGUGAAAUCCCCGAGCUUUACCUUGGGAACUGCAUUUGAAACUGGCAAGCUAGAGUCUUUGUAGAGGGGG